rnacentral:rRNA from 1 species
UACGAAGGGGGGCUAGCGUUGCUCGGAAUCACUGGGCGUAAAGCGCACGUAGGCGGACUCUUAAGUCAGGGGUGAAAUCCUGGAGCUCAACUCCAGAACUGCCUUUGAUACUGGGAGUCUUGGAGUUCGGGAGAGGUGAGUGGAACUGCGAGUGUAGAGGUGAAAUUCGUAGAUAUUCGCAAGAACACCAGUGGCGAAGGCGGCUCACUGGCCCGAUACUGACGCUGAGGUGCGAAAGCGUGGGGAGCAAACAGG